rnacentral:lncRNA from 10 species
UUAUUGUGAUUUUAAUACUAUUGGUAUUCUAACUAUCAAGAUGACUGCUUGUAGAGCCAGAUUGCCUGGAUUCAAACUCCAGUUCACAACCUACUAACUGUAUGCCUUUAGGUAAACUCAGAUGCCUCUGAUGGAUUCGAAAUAACCAGAUAUAUUUCUGAAUUGCUUCAUAUGGUUGAGAAGACAAAAAGAUGUGACAACUAAAUGGGAUGCGCUGUGCUGAACU